rnacentral:rRNA from 1 species
AGUGAACGCUGGCGGUAGGCCUAACACAUGCAAGUCGAGCGGCAGCACAGGAGAGCUUGCUCUCUGGGUGGCGAGUGGCGGACGGGUGAGGAAUACAUCGGAAUCUACCUUUUCGUGGGGGAUAACGUAGGGAAACUUACGCUAAUACCGCAUACGACCUUCGGGUGAAAGCAGGGGACCUUCGGGCCUUGCGCGGAUAGAUGAGCCGAUGUCGGAUUAGCUAGUUGGCGGGGUAAAGGCCCACCAAGGCGACGAUCCGUAGCUGGUCUGAGAGGAUGAUCAGCCACACUGGAACUGGGACACGGUCCAGACUCCUACGGGAGGCAGCAGUGGGAAUAUUGGACAAUGGGCGCAAGCCUGAUCCAGCCAUACCGCGUGGGUGAAGAAGGCCUUCGGGUUGUAAAGCCCUUUUGUUGGGAAAGAAAAGCAACCAGUUAAUACCUGGUUGUUCUGACGGUACCCAAAGAAUAAGCACCGGCUAACUUCGUGCCAGCCGCCGCCGUAAUAC